AACGCUAGCUUUUAGCCAAGGCAAGUAAUCUAGAUUUCAAACUAACUCGGCAGCUCACAUCCUUGUAAUUUCGCAGUCAGGAAAUACAAAACAAAAACAACAAAAUCUAUAGUUUUUUGGAGUAAACAUGGAUUGAGAUUUGUGCAGAAGUAAAAUACUAUUAAACUGUUCAUCUAUUCAGGUGGAGAACACGGAGAAAAUACAGCCCAAGUGCCAAUUGCCUUAUUUGAACCGACUUUCUGAUUCCACCUACAUCCCCAGAUGAGUAAUAAUUCAGCUGAAAAUCCAAGAAUCAGACCAGACGAACCAGUACGAUCAAAAUGUUGCCUUCUCGGCAAUCAAGGCAACUAAAAUUGCAAGAUCUUUUGAAGAUCACAAGUAAGGGUAUUCAUGACUGCACCCAACGAUGCUAAACUAUCUCAGCAGUGUAAAUUCCAAAACUUUUCAUCCCAUGCCUCUAUAACUUUCAGAAUCAUUUCCCACAAGAAACAAGAGGCAAUGUGAUUAAAUCAACUUGAGGCUGUUGUCAUCAGCCAAAAGGCCUUGUAAGAUUUCAAUUAAUCCCAUGUGCAGGCGACACAACAAGUUUCUAACUGAUGCUACUGGUCAAGCUCAACAUCUGAUCUACCGAGAGCCUGGCUUGCAACACUCAACAUCAGAUCACACACAGAUAGUACUCAUUAACAGCCUAACACGGCCCAAACAUAUUACACAACAGGGACCGUUUGAGCUUCGACACUAUGCUGAAAGAAAAACACAUGCAAAUUGAAAGGAAGACGUACACAUUCAGAUUACUCAGGCAAUCAAGCCGGCCGGGCGGAUCGUAUCUCCCGUUCUAUCUGUUCCUCCUAUGAACGGAGGUGGCGUUUGGAUAUAGGGAAACAAGUGGUGGGAUAAGGAAAUGAGGUCACGGAGAUAUCUUAUCCGAUGUUUGUAUUAACGGAAUGCGAAAUAAAUAGGGAAAGGGAAUGGGAAAUGAGAGCCUCUUUUACCAACGGUGUAAUCCCAAUGGAAGGGGUGGGUUAUGCCGGGAAAUGAGCUGCCUGUACCGCUUUGCAUCACCUUCCACAGUCCCGUCGACACCAACGCCGGCGACCAAAUCUAGCGUGGAGGCUACCAGGGCGUCCUCCGCUGCCUGACGCCGCCGUGCCUCACCACAUGUCACUGCAGCUUCAUCGAGUUGGGGAAAUCGCGACCGUCUCCAGAUCGAGCUGCUGCUCGUCGCACUCAGCGCCGUCGCUUGAUCCGCCGGAGCCAUAGCUGCAGCCGCCUCGCUACGCGGACCACUGGUGGAGCCGCAGGCAGUCUCCUACCGCGAGCACCAGGAUAUGCAGCUCACUCACCUCGCAUUGCGUGCUAGAGCCGGAGGCUGCUUCGCCGUACGGGCAACCAGAGCCGCAAGUCGCCUCCUCGUGCGGGCAGGGGGAGCUGCUUGCCGGCGCAUCUGGCUGUUGCCUAGCGCUAGCGCUUGGGGGCUUGUGGCUCUGGAAUACGAGCACUCGAGCAGAGGCUGUGGAAUCUGGACGAGCACUCCAGCAGAGGCCCAGGAGAAGCACCGAGAAGAAGAUAAGGUCACAGCAUUUUUCAUUUUUUCCUAUCACCUUGUGGGUCCCACAAACCCAGA
rnacentral:lncRNA from 1 species